CCUACGGGCGGCUGCAGUAGGGAAUAUUGGACAAUGGGGGCAACCCUGAUCCAGCCAUUCCGCGUGCAGGAAUAAGGCCCUAUGGGUCGUAAACUGCUUUUGUAUGGGAAAAAAUCAUCUUACGUGUAAGGUGUUGAUGGUACCAUGAGAAUAAGGAUCGGCUAACUUCGUGCCAGCAGCCGCGGUAAUACGAAGGAUCCAAGCGUUGUCGGGAUUUACUGGGGUGAAAGGGUGAUAAGGCGUGAGUUGAGAAAGCUGGUAGCUCAACUAUCAAAUUGCCAUUGAAACUGAUAUUCUCGAGUACGAUUGAGGUAGCUGGAAUGUAACAUGUAGCGGUGAAAUGCAUAGAUAUGUUACAGAACACCAAUUGCGAAGGCAGGCUACUAAGUCGUAACUGACGCUGAGGCACGAAAGCGUGGGGAUCAAACAGGAUUAGAUACCCCAGUAGUC
rnacentral:rRNA from 1 species